ACGAACGCUGGCGGCAUGCCUAACACAUGCAAGUCGAACGAGACCUUCGGGUCUAGUGGCGCACGGGUGCGUAACGCGUGGGAACCUGCCCUUAGGUUCGGAAUAACUCCCCGAAAGGGGUGCUAAUACCGGAUAAUGUCUUCGGACCAAAGAUUUAUCGCCUUUGGAUGGGCUCGCGUUGGAUUAGCUAGUUGGUAGGGUAAAAGCCUACCAAGGCGACGAUCCAUAGCUGGUCUGAGAGGAUGAUCAGCCACACUGGGACUGAGACACGGCCCAGACUCCUACGGGAGGCAGCAGUGGGGAAUAUUGGACAAUGGGCGAAAGCCUGAUCCAGCAAUGCCGCGUGAGUGAUGAAGGCCUUAGGGUUGUAAAGCUCUUUUACCCGGGAUGAUAAUGACUGUACCGGGAGAAUAAGCUCCGGCUAACUCCGUG
rnacentral:rRNA from 1 species